GAGGGUAUAGUUCAACGGUAGAGCACAUGCUUAGCAUGAGCAAGGUCCUGGGUUCAACCCCUAGUACCUCCA
rnacentral:tRNA from 1 species